UACGUAGGGUGCAAGCGUUGUCCGGAAUUAUUGGGCGUAAAGAGCUCGUAGGUGGUUUGUCGCGUUGUUCGUGAAAACUCACAGCUCAACUGUGGGCGUGCGGGCGAUACGGGCAGACUUGAGUACUGCAGGGGAGACUGGAAUUCCUGGUGUAGCGGUGGAAUGCGCAGAUAUCAGGAGGAACACCGAUGGCGAAGGCAGGUCUCUGGGCCACUACUGACGCUGAGGAGCGAAAGCAUGGGGAGCGAACAGG
rnacentral:rRNA from 1 species